rnacentral:rRNA from 1 species
CCUACGGGAGGCAGCAGCCGCGGUAAUACGGAGGGUGCAAGCGUUGUCCGGAUUUAUUGGGUUUAAAGGGUGCGUAGGCGGCUGAAUAAGUCAGCGGUGAAAGACUUCGGCUUAACCGGAGCAGUGCCGUUGAUACUGUUUAGCUUGAGUGUUGGAGGGGUACAUGGAAUUGAUGGUGUAGCGGUGAAAUGCAUAGAUACCAUCAGGAACACCGAUAGCGAAGGCAUUGUACUGGCCAACAACUGACGCUGAGGCACGAAAGUGUGGGGAUCGAACAGGAUUAGAUACCCUGGUAGUCCACACUGUAAACGAUGAUUACUCGCUGUUAUGGUGUAUGCUGUAGCGGCCAAGCGAAAGCGUUAAGUAAUCCACCUGGGGAGUACGCCGGCAACGGUGAAACUCAAAUGAAUUGACGG